rnacentral:lncRNA from 1 species
UGCAGACCCAACACUGGCAAAACUCAUUUUGGAGACGUCACCAGGAGCAAUCUGGGGAUCCCUCAUCUCAAGCAGCGCUACCCCGCUGGCCUCAAAGCUGAAGCCAUUGCCCAGCAGCAAAAACCAUAAUCUUAAAUGAAAAAACACACGACAAAACCCAACCUUUCUUAAUACGAGUCAUUUAUCACUUAAUUAGUGUCACAUAAUAACAGUUUUGAAGGCUGAGAAAUAGGAUCAGCCUGUCAAGACCAGGUCUCUGUGACUGCUUUGCUUAGUGAAUGAGAUUGUACCUGGUAUCCUGCUGCCCGAGGGGAAAACAGGGAACAAACCGUUUCUGUUACUUCUAUUUCUGACUUAUACCGCAAAGUUAAGUUCUUAAGUAGCUCUUUGGUAGCAAUCGUGCUUUUUUGUAUCGGGAGCAGAAUAAACGAAGGAAACCUAAGCCUCACAGUUAGCAGCGUCACGUAGUAUUUCACGGGAUUUCAGAUAAAAGUCUUGUAAAUACUUGUCCAUCCCUAUCUCUCUCUUCUGGAAACGCCUCAUCUGAUACAUUAUCACCGUUUCCCUCCUUACACGCCCGUAAGCAGCACCGGUUUCCGACAGCCCUGCCGCAGCACCUUGCAACGCUCAGGUCUUUCGCACUCAGCCCCCUUUGAGCCGGGGAGCAGCACCCCUUCGCGCAGCCAGCCACCUCCGAAACUACACCACCAGCUUAUCUACCGCAAGGUACGCGGGUCGCCUCGAGCGAUAACAGCGCCCCAAAAAAAAAAAAAAAAAAAAAGCCGGUUUGGCGCCAGAUGUGCAGGGGAGGAGGGUUGGUACAGCCGGUGUCCGGUUCUCCCGGAGCGUUCCCUGUUUUCCCCGCAGCGGGGAAGGCGAAGUGCAUUACGCAAGUGCAUUAAACAGCUGCCGCCUAUAGACGCAGGAUCCGCAGGCAAACAUUCAACAACGUCGCCGCUCCGGGAGGUGACAAACCCGCUAAAUCCCACCGGCUUUCCCCGAACCUGCCUUAGACUCCUCUCCCUUCCCCUGCAAAGCCCUCCACGCCGAAGAGCCGCGCCGCCGCGAACCCCCCGGGAGGCGAAGCAGCUGCUGCGGCAGCGGGGCGGCGGGGACCGGUCCCCGGCGCGGCCGCGGAGGGGAAGGGAAGGGAACGGAGCGGGGCGCUGAAGAUGGAUAUUAAACGUGUGAAGGACUAUAUCUAUUGGCUCUACUACCAGUACCUACUGAUCACCUGCAGCUACGUGCUGGAGCCCUGGGAGCGGUCCAUGUUCCAUACCAUCACCGUGACUGUUUUCGCUAUGGUGGUGUACACGGCUUACGUCUUCGUCCCCAUCCAUGUCCGCCUGGCUUUUGAGUUCUUCUCCCAGAUCUUCGGAAGCCAGCCCGAAAGCACAGUUUCCAUUGUGAACUGAACUUGCCUGAGUAGUGAUCAGCAGUUCUUGCAACUUGUGAAAUGCAAUGUCUUCUUCAAUUUUGUGUAUUUAUUCUGAAGCAGUUUUGCAGUUAUGAAAAUACCAUUUUCUCUUACAAAACAUGGCUUGCUUAAUUACCAUAGCUGAAAACCAGAAUAACGCACUGACUGCUGGCUGUGCAGUCCCCGUUAAAUAAAACACAGGCCAGCUUUUGCUGUGUGAUAAUGAAACACAUCACCUGGAAUGCCACGUUUACAUAAUACUCAACCGGCGCCCACUUUCAGCACCCUAAUUUAAUCACACUGGCAUUUAUGAAACAGCAAAGACUGUUUAUGAUGGCUGUGAGGAGGGGUACUACACUCACUAUACACAAAGAAGUUCUACCAACAGAGUGCAAUGGCAAAACAUACCAUGCCUUCUUUGACCCAGGUUAGAGAAUGUAAGGAGAUGAGUAAAAUAUAGCAUGAUUUGAUAACUAACUAAUAUCUGGCUGGUUACUGGCUUCUCCUUUUUAAUGGACAGGAAAGGAAAUUAGCAGAGAAAGUAACAGGAGUAUGAACUUGAAUCCAACUUUUUGCAUUUAAGUUGCUGCAUCCGAGUUUAGAUGGUCUAAGAUAGUAAAAAAAACCCAUAGUAUAGGUAAUCUUGCAGUUUACUGAAAAUGACAGAAAGAAACAGAACUGGCUCAGUUUCAGUGUACUCCUGCCUUCUUUGACAAAAACUGAGACAUCUUUUCUUUGUGCUCCCAUUCACCAAGGCAAGCAAAGUGCAUGUCUGCACCAGAGGAAGAUGAUCCGGAAAAUAGAAUGGAAGUAAUAUUUUAAUAACUGCAGGGAAGUCCGAGGGCUUAAAGAGAUCUCCUUUAUAAAGAAGAAAUUAAGAUUUAUUUUAAUUGCCUGUGGGGAGUUUCUUGAACAUAGUUUUCACUCUAAAUCAAAUGUCAAUGCCAAAUCCUAAGUUAUAGCUAUACAGUGCAUGUAUCUAACAGCUGAUGCUACUGUUACUAGAAGUGAGAGGUACAAAAUGUAAAUAGCUUCCAAAUUACGUUUGCACAGUUAUAGGAUUAAAAAAGCCCUCUUAAUUUCUUUAUCAAGCUGCAGUGGGGUCCUGCAUGCUUAAAAGAUCGCUGUUUGGAAAUCAAGACAUGUUUUGAAGGUUGAACAGAUCUGAAAAUGUGUAUGCAGUUUUUUCAGAAAAAAAAUAAAAUUUUAUUCUUCAGAAACAACAUUGCAGUGCAUGACUCAGCUCUUCCUGUGUUUUUUAUUCGUUCAUAAAUACCCUCGAUGUGUGUGGGCCAGGCUGACACCAUGGCAGACAGACUAUUUUGUUGCAAAUGUCUUGGGGCAAAGUUUCAGAGCCCUUUAAAUGGAUCCAUGUGUGGACUGCCGAGUUCAUUGUCAUUAGCGCUCGAGCCCAAGACCUCUCCUCUCUCUGGUGUGGGGGGACGCAAAAAAAAAAAAAGAACAAACAGAAACUUCAUUGAAAAUCCUGCUCCACAGACCUGUUCACAAGUUCCUGACAGCAACUCUUGGAGAGGGACAGGUUUCCUGCUUGUCAGAGGCCACAUCCAUAUCAUACUUGCUAGUUGUGCUCAGGUUCCAGCUCACACCUGAGCCACUUGUUCAUAUUGCCAAUACAAGCAGAUCAUGGAUGUGCCCGAAUUCUCUUGCAGACAGCCACUGAUGUGCUUCAAAUUAAGACAAUGAAUACCUGUGUGUGCUGGUGGCACAACAAUUGAGUGGUUUAGGCUCAAAUCAGAGCCAAAGGCUUAGCUGUUGUAUCAGUUUAAUCACAGUUGUUAACCUGCAAAUAGGAGGUACCAAGCUAUAAUCAUGCUUACGGUAAUAAACAGAGCAUUGGAGGAG